ensembl:lncRNA
CUCCAUGGCCUGUGUUCCAGGGGAUGGGUCAGGGCUUUGUAUUUCUUUACAGAUAAGGAGUGGAGUUCUAGGUUGGCCAAUCCUCGAUUCUUUAGCUAAGACUUUGAACCGAUAUUCUUCUUAGACCAAAGAGUCGUUCUCAGCGUGUGCUUCACUUACGGCUGUCAGAUGCGUCUUCCAUCCAGGAGGCCUCGUUCAGUAACUCGCUCAAGAUUAUGUAAUGAAUCUCUAUAAAAAGAAAAAGAAAAAUAAUUAUAAGGUAUUGGUUGCAGAGAAUAAGGAGAGAGAAAAGAUAACACAUUAAAAUUAUUUGGAAAACCUUAGGAAAAGAAUGGGGUGUCCAUUUUCAGGAGGUUCUCUAAAGUGCUGUCUGGUCCCAUGACCUCUGAAUUCCUUAGACCUCAUCUAUGCCAUGGAUGUGAGUGAGUCCUCCACCUAUGAAGUGGGAAGACCUCAUCAGCAGGAACAGUCAUGCUCACCUACACUGUGCCAUAGCUUUCUGCUGUCAACUGGCUCUGGGUCCCUCAAAUCUAGUAUUGCUUUCAGGGCUCCAAACCAAAGCUUGGAAAAACCAGUGGAGUAAUGAAGCUGUGAAACCAGAUCCUCCUGAAGCAAAGGAGAGAAGUUAUAUCCUACUGUUGCAGCCUGGAAGUGAGCUGACAGGAAACCAAGGACAGGAAAUGAAGCCAUCCAUGUGGGUCCUUCUGCUUCUUUGUCCUGCAGUCACUGGAAGGCACAAGGUGAACACUUCUUCUCUCGCUCCUCUGCUUAUGAGAACUCAGAGGACCCAUGAACCAGCUGGAGAGCAGGUGCUUUGGAGAGGCUUCGAGACAAGAGCACUGCUUUCUCCUUGUUUCUUUUCUGGCUGGGCUGCCCUCCUCUUACCAUGCACACUGAAUACUUCUCUUCUGGGGAAAGAGCUGUUUUUCUUAACCAUUCAAUAAUUGCUUUGCUUGUGUCAAAGGCUAUUUCAAACUAGGUAAUAUAGUUUUUCAUUUUCAACAAAUAACUUGUUCUCAUUUUUGUAGGAUUAUAGUUACUUUCCAUUUGGUUCUUGAUAGCUCAUAGUGAGCUGUGGUUUUAAAAUUUCGCAUGCAACAUUUCUGACGGAUGUGGUCGAUGCCCUGAGUUUGGGGAUUAUAAAAAAGCCUCAAUCACUUGGAUAAAUGAAUGCCACCUGCACAAUGGAACGAAGUGCAAGACUGCCUGUGAACCUAUAUUCGUGAUGACCUCUGGAAGGAGAGGAGACUUGAAUGCAUCUUCUCUCAUUCUGCCAUGAUACUGUCAUUUUCACAUACCACUGUGGAACUCAAGUAGAUGUCCCAAUAUGUGGAAUUGAUAAUUUUAACCUAGCCAGCUUUGUAUGAGAAAACUCCACCACCAGGGAAUUAGAUACUUGAAGUUACUGGUAUAAUAAUCUGUAUAAUUUUGUAAAAUAUAAUUUGUAAAAUGUAUUCUGCAAUAUUUUCCAAUCAAUGUUUUACAUGCAAUAAUUGUAAAUCUUCCCCAGAAAGUCUCAGAAUAUUGUUUGCAGAGUAUUGAGGCCAGGAUUACACAAAGGACCUAGCACUAUGGGCAUCGAUUUUAUUAGCUAGUACAGAUCUGUUAGAGGCGGGAGAGAUCCGAGCUACCUCGAGUUACCAGCAGCAAAUCUGUAUGCAUCUGCAGCAGCUUCAAUUCUUGCCUCCUCGGAAAAAAGAAUUUGACCGAGGGGCAUAAAGCAGAAACAGAGACCAAGGCCGAUUUCAGAGCAGGAGUGGCAGUUUAUUUAAAAGGCCUCAGAAUAGGAAAGAAAGGAAAGUUCACUAUGAAGAGAUGCCAGAGGGCACGUGAAGGCCAAAGAGAGAAGAUCAAGUGCCCUGUUUCACCAUGAUUGAGGACUUCUAUAGGCCCCCUCUUUCCCAUGAUCUUCCCUCAGGGUGGGCUGCCUGCACGCACACUGCCCUCUUUACCCCUGGGAGGUGAGAACGUGUCAUGUUUCAGGAAGUUGUACGCAUGCAUGCCCGAUGCUUUCUUCCCUUUUUCAGUGGAGCAGUACCCGGAAGAUCAAAUUUUUGUGUCUUAAAGUAGAAGCCCAGGAAGUUUAUUCUUCCUGGAGACAGCCUGUAAUGAACACUUCAACGGUAACAGGUGUAUACCGUCAGGAAAUGGCCCCUUCCUGGCCCCACUGCCAAUUUGUCACUUUUAGAGAGGCAAUCUGGUAAUCACCAAACCAUUACCGGAUUUUUCUAGUGAUUGGGGGAAGAGGCUUCUCCUGCCCUGCUCGUGCCUAAACACUUGGAACGAUCGACUUUCCCUCUUGAGAAUAGAAACAGACUUUCUCACUUGCUUAUAAGACAGAGCAGGAAAAAAAAUAAAUAAUUAGCAAGAACCAGGGGUAAAACAACCAAUCUACCAAAAUGAGGAUUAUUAGUGAGACCCAGAAGAAACAUCGGAAAAAACAAUACAUUCUUGUCAUCAUUUACACUUUCAAAUUCUCUUGAGGGGACAGCAUAAAUUCAUUCUACUAAAGCAUUCAGUCAAUAUGAUGUCAGUUGACAUUAAGUGUCAUUGUUUUUAGUGAAGAGCUAAGGUGUCCAAAUAAAGAGCUGAAAUGGUAGGGAUGUUUUUGUCUUCCAUGUUUUGAGAGAUGUGUAUUAUAAACACUUUUCUGUCUAGCUUUUCAUUUUUUUCCCUAAAGAUAAAUCUUCAUUGGAUUAUUUAAUUUCUCAUGUAAUUGAAAAAAGCAUAGGUUUUUUACACCAUGUAUUAGUUGGCAUUUUUCUUACAAAUUGCUCAACUUGGAUAAUAUUGUAUUAAUUAAAUUUAUCAUCACAAUAUAUUGGUAUCAUCGAAAAGGUUGAAAGAGCAUUUACGACUUCAUUUUUCAACUUAGCAAGUGCAGGGGGAAGAGAGGUUGAGUGUCACGAACCAAAGAGCACAUUGAUAAAGCCAAAACAAAUCUUAGGUCCCAGAGAUCCCAAUUUCUUGCCAAAAGAAGCCUUUACAUUUUGUUUCCAUCAGCAUCAUAUCCAAGUUUUAUUGAACUGUUAUAUUUCAUGUUCCC